CCUACGGGAGGCUGCAGUGGGGGAUAUUGCACAAUGGGGGAGACCCUGAUGCAGCGACGCCGCGUGUGGGAAGACGGUCCUCUGGAUUGUAAACCACUGUCACCAGGGACGAAAAUGACGGUACCUGGGGAGGAAGCUCCGGCUAACUACGUGCCAGCAGCCGCGGUAAUACGUAGGGAGCGAGGGUUGUCCGGAAUUACUGGGUGUAAAGGGAGCGUAGGCGGGACUGCAAGUUGUGUGUCAAAUCUACGGGCUCAACCGGUAGCCGCACUCAAAACUGCAGUUCUUGAGUGAAGUAGAGGCAGGCGGAAUUCCUGGUGUAGCGGUGAAAUGCGUAGAUAUUAGGAGGAACACCAGUGGCGAAGGCGGCCUGCUGGGCUUUUACUGACGCUGAGGCUCGAAAGUGUGGGGAGCAAACAGGAUUAGAUACCCGGGUAGUC
rnacentral:rRNA from 1 species